rnacentral:misc_RNA from 1 species
GAUGAAGAACUCAGUGAAAUGCGAUAAGUAAUGUGAAUUGCAGAAUUCAGUGAAUCAUCGAAUCUUUGAACGCACAUUGCGCCCGCUAGUAUUCUGGCGGGCAUGCCUGUCCGAGCGUCAUUUCAACCCUCAAGCCCCCGGGCUUGGUGUUGGGGAUCGGCGAGCCUCCGCGCCCGCCGUCCCCUAAAUCUAGUGGCGGUCUCGCUGUAGCUUCCUCUGCGUAGUAGCACACCUCGCACUGGGAAACAGCGCGGCCACGCCGUUAAACCCCCAACUUCUGAACGUUUGACCUCGGAUCAGGUAGGAAUACCCGCUGAACUUAAGCAUAUCAAUAAGCGGAGGA